UACGUAGGGUGCGAGCGUUGUCCGGAAUUAUUGGGCGUAAAGAGCUCGUAGGCGGUCUGUCGCGUCGGUCGUGAAAACUUGGGGCUUAACCCUGAGCUUGCGGUCGAUACGGGCAUGACUGGAGUUCGGCAGGGGAGACUGGAAUUCCUGGUGUAGCGGUGAAAUGCGCAGAUAUCAGGAGGAACACCGGUGGCGAAGGCGGUUCUCUGGGCCGAUACUGACGCUGAGGAGCGAAAGCGUGGGGAGCGAACAGG
rnacentral:rRNA from 1 species